GAUGAACGCUGGCGGCGUGCUUAACACAUGCAAGUCGAACGCACCUUCGGGUGAGUGGCGGACGGGUGAGUAACGCGUGAGAAUCUGCCCCAAGGAGGGGGAUAACGGCUGGAAACGGCCGCUAAUACCCCAUAUGCCGUGAGGUGAAAUGAGUUUUCGCCUUGGGAUGAGCUCGCGUCUGAUUAGCUAGUUGGUGGGGUAAAGGCCUACCAAGGCAUCGAUCAGUAGCUGGUCUGAGAGGAUGAUCAGCCACACUGGGACUGAGACACGGCCCAGACUCCUACGGGAGGCAGCAGUGGGAAUUUUCCGCAAUGGGCGAAAGCCUGACGGAGCAACGCCGCGUGAGGGAUGAAGGCCUCUGGGCUGUAAACCUCUUUUCUCAAGGAGAAGAACUGACGGUACUUGAGGAAUAAGCCACGGCUAAUUCCGUGCCAGCAGCCGCGGUAAU
rnacentral:rRNA from 1 species